GCGGCGGUGCCGGAGUGGCCAAACGGGCUGGAUUUAGACUCCAGUGGCUUAGUGCCUACGCAGGUUCGAAUCCUGUCCGCCGCA
rnacentral:tRNA from 1 species